rnacentral:lncRNA from 10 species
CAAGAACCCACCAGUUCUGGACACAAUUUCAAGUCCUCAGGCAAUCUAGAUGCUGGGGACACAAGGUCCACCUUCCAGGAAUAUGGCCAUGACACCAGAAAUCACAAACAUGAUGAGAAUGGAAUGACUGGGGAAGAAGUGCCAGAUGCUUCACUUGUAAAUGAAGACCCAGCCUCUGGGGAUGCAGAUACCACCUCCCUGAAGAAGCUGAAUAUCUGCAGAUAAGUGGAGUUCACCAAUGAUGAGGAGCGGGAUGGAGAAAGGAGGUAGGGAGAGUCAUCCAAGGAACAUGAGCAACAUGUUAAAAGUGUAUUCGACACACAGCUGCCUGAUG